rnacentral:tRNA from 1 species
AAUUAUAUAGUCAAUUAUGAUUUUAAAUUGCAAGUUUAAAGGUAUAUUUUAAAUAUUAUAAUUU